CAGUAGCCGCGGUAAUACGAAGGGGGCUAGCGUUGCUCGGAAUGACUGGGCGUAAAGGGCGCGUAGGCGGUGGCCAAAGUCAGGCGUGAAAUUCCCGGGCUCAACCUGGGGGCUGCGCUUGAUACUUGGUUGCUUGAGUGGGGAAGAGGGUCGUGGAAUUCCCAGUGUAGAGGUGAAAUUCGUAGAUAUUGGGAAGAACACCGGUGGCGAAGGCGGCGACCUGGUCCUUGACUGACGCUGAGGCGCGAAAGCGUGGGGAGCAAACAGGAUUAGAUACCCCCGUAGUCCCUGUCUCUUAUAC
rnacentral:rRNA from 1 species